rnacentral:hammerhead_ribozyme from 1 species
ACUCAGCUGAAGAUUCCCAAAUAGGACGAGACGCGUGUCCUGGAU